ACCCGCUGAACUUAAGCAUAUCAAUAAGCGGANGAAAAGAAACCAACAGGGAUUGCCCUAGUAACGGCGAGUGAAGCGGCAACAGCUCAAAUUUGAAAUCUGGCCCUCGGGUCCGAGUUGUAAUUUGUAGAGGAUGCUUUUGGUGAGGUACCUUCCGAGUUCCCUGGAACGGGACGCCAUAGAGGGUGAGAGCCCCGUCUGGUUGGAUACCGAUCCUCUGUAAAGCUCCUUCGACGAGUCGAGUAGUUUGGGAAUGCUGCUCUAAAUGGGAGGUAUAUGUCUUCUAAAGCUAAAUAUUGGCCAGAGACCGAUAGCGCACAAGUAGAGUGAUCGAAAGAUGAAAAGCACUUUGAAAAGAGAGUUAAAAAGUACGUGAAAUUGUUGAAAGGGAAGCGCUCAUGACCAGACUUGGGCUUGGUUGAUCAUCCAGGGUUCUCCCUGGUGCACUCUUCCAGCUCAGGCCAGCAUCAGUUCGCCGCGGGGGAUAAAGGCUUUGGGAAUGUGGCUCCUCCGGGAGUGUUAUAGCCCACUGCGUAAUACCCUGUAGUGGACUGAGGUUCGCGCAUCUGCAAGGAUGCUGGCGUAAUGGUCAUCAGCGACCCGUCUUGAAACACGGACCAAGGAGUCGUCUUCGUAUGCGAGUGUUCGGGUGUUAAACCCCUACGCGUAAUGAAAGUGAACGCAGGUGAGAGCUUCGGCGCAUCAUCGACCGAUCCUGAUGUUCUCGGAUGGAUUUGAGUAAGAGCAUACGGGGCCGGACCCGAAAGAAGGUGAACUAUGCCUGUAUAGGGUGAAGCCAGAGGAAACUCUGGUGGAGGCUCGCAGCGGUUCUGACGUGCAAAUCGAUCGUCAAA
rnacentral:rRNA from 1 species